GACGAACGCUGGCGGCGUGCUUAACACAUGCAAGUCGAACGAAGAGCGAUGGAAGCUUGCUUCUAUCAAUCUUAGUGGCGAACGGGUGAGUAACGCGUAAUCAACCUGCCCUUCAGAGGGGGACAACAGUUGGAAACGACUGCUAAUACCGCAUACGAUCUAAUCUCGGCAUCGAGGAUAGAUGAAAGGUGGCCUCUACAUGUAAGCUAUCACUGAAGGAGGGGAUUGCGUCUGAUUAGCUAGUUGGAGGGGUAACGGCCCACCAAGGCGAUGAUCAGUAGCCGGUCUGAGAGGAUGAACGGCCACAUUGGGACUGAGACACGGCCCAGACUCCUACGGGAGGCAGCAGUGGGGAAGCUUCCGCAAUGGACGAAAGUCUGACGGAGCAACGCCGCGUGAGCGAUGACGGCCUUCGGGUUGUAAAGCUCUGUUAAUCGGGACGAAAGGCCUUCUUGCGAAUAGUGAGAAGGAUUGACGGUACCGGAAUAGAAAACCACGGCUAACUACGUG
rnacentral:rRNA from 1 species